rnacentral:lncRNA from 1 species
CCGCCUGUCCCCCUCUGGGAGAACUCGCUCCAAAGAGAAAGCCCGGCGCACGCAAACGAGGCCUGAAAUGUAUCUUUUAAAAAUGUUUUGUGCGGCUGAUUUUUAAUUAUCAUACUGAAAAAUUGCCACUUUUAUUUGCGUGGACGGUUUCGUGGACUGUUUGGAGAGUCGUCGCUCGACCGGGUUCGGAGCAGUUGCGUCACCCCAAGGACCGCCUCCUGCUGUGGCUGGUAGACCCCCCCACCCCCCCUCCACCCCCUCCACUCCCUCCACCCCCCCUCAUCACCCCUCAUCCCCCUUCCCCUCCGCCUCACCCCCUUCACCCCCUCACCCCCCUUCACACCCCUCUUUACCACCCUUCACCCCUUCUUCACUCCCCCUUCACCCCUCACCCCCUCAUCCCUCCUUCACCUCUCCCUCACCCCCCACCCCCUUCGCCCUGAAGCCCUGCUCUGGUCCCCCCCCCGGCGGUGGCUGGGUCUGCCCUGGGCCCUGGCCCCGCCCUCCAAGCGGCGGCAGAAGCAGCAGGCCUCGGAUUCACCCGGGCGCUGUGUGUGAAUCCACAGCUUGUUCCUCUCGGUGCCUCGGUGUCCCGCGGUGUAGACGGGUGGCCGUUCACGCACUGAAGAACGUUCGGUUGUUGCCUCCUAUUGCACACAAAGCUUCCUACCACGUUCGUGCCCGGUUGUUGUGUGAACGUGCAUCCCGUGUCCGGGUGACCGGCCAGGGCUGGGAUUGCCACAUCCGUGUCGGGUGGGAAGCGGGAGCCGAGACCGUCGUCCGGGGGCCGCUGCCCGCCUGCUCCCUCCACAGCUGCUCCCUGGCCUCCCGUAGGCCGUGGGGGCGCCUCGUCGGGGCUGGGGGGUGGGGGGCUCCCCGGCGUCUAAUGACACCGAGGUCUUCUCGUGGCCUCUUCGUCGUCCCCGCAUCCGCUUUGGAUCAAGACGUUUCCUACCUGCAGCUAGUGGGUCUCAGUGUGGACACUCUGCGUCCCUCCUCCGACACGGGGUUCACAGCACCUGGUUCCUGUCGUUCUCUUGACAGCGUCUCUGGGGGAGCAAAAGUCUGCGUUGGGAUGAAGUCCAGUUUAUCAGUUUCUUCUCCGAUGGCGUCUCUCCAAACUCCGAGCAAGCCCGUGUCGUGAAGAUCGCGUCCCGUGACCUUCUGCGUAAGUUGUGUAUGUUGUGCACUUAAACCCGGGACUCCCUUUGAGCUUACCUUCGCCCAAGGUGUGGACUGGAGGUACAGGCUCCCCCCCCGCGCGUGGGGGACACUGGCCCAGUUCCAUUUGCUGAAAUAGCUGCUUGUCCUACGCUGAGCCGCACUCACACGGCUGCCAGAGUUUUCCGUGGCUCUGUUUCUGGACCACCCAUCUGGUCGGCGCCCGGGUCCCUCUAACACGGGUCCCACCCUGUGUUGCUCACGCAGCUGUGUGGUCAGUGUUCAAUCAGGUGGCUUCCAGCAGUUUUGUUCUCUUUCCAGUUGUUUUACUUCUAGUUCCAUUGCUGUUACAUAUGCAUUUUAGAAUUUGCCCAUCUCUGUCUACAAAAAAAAUCUUGCUGGAAUUUCGCCUCGUGAUGUGUGAAGUCUAUAGAUCACUUUGAGGAGAACUGACAUCUUCGCUACGCUGAGCCUUCAGAUUCAUGAACAUGGUAAGCCUUUCUAUUUAUGUAGAUCGUAUCUGAUUUCUUUCAACAGCAUUUUGUCGUUUUCAGUACUCAGAACCUUUUCGUACUUUGCUAGAUUUGCACCUAGACGUUUUGGGAAGCUUUUGUAAAAAGUGAUAGUCUUAAAAUUUUGGUCUCCAAUUAUUCAUUGCUUGUAUCUAUCUGGGCAUACAGUUGAUUUUGAUGUGUCGAUCUCUAACCUACAACCUUGCUUAAACUCACUGGUUCUAAGAGUUUGGUUCUGUUUAAAAAAUAGAUUCCCUGGGAUUUUCUACACAGAUCGCUGCAUUGUCUGCAAAUAAGGACGGCUUUAUUCUUCCUUCCCAAUCAAUAUGCCUUUUAUUUCCUUUUCUUGCCCCAUUGCACUGGCUGGAGUUUCUAGCACUGUGCGAAAUAAGAGUGCUGAGGGAGGGCACCCUGGCCGUGAUCCUAAUCUCAGGUGGAAGCAUUCAGGCUUUCACAUGAAGUACGAUUUAGCUGUAGGACUUUUAUCAAUGCCCUUUGUCAGGUUAAGGAAGUUUGCUGGAUAUAGGAAUCUGAACAAUGAUUCUUGUCUUUCAGCACCGAAAAGAUACUGUAUUACCGAUAAGAAAGUCCAGCCUUCAAAUCAUCAUUCUUCUACAGGUAACACAUCAUUUUUCUCUGGCUGCUUUUUAAGAUUUUUUUUCUCUGUUUUUAGUUUUCAGCAAUUUGAUUAUAAAGUGGCUUGGUGUGGGGGCGCCUGGGUGGCUCAAUGAGGUAAGCGUCCGACUUCGGCUCAGGUCGUGAUCUCGCGGUUCGUGAGUUCGAGCCCCGCGUCGGGCUCUGCGCUGACAGCUCGGAGCCUGGAUCCUGCUUCGGAUUCUGUGUCUCCCUCUCUCUCUGCCCCUUCCUUGCUUGUGCUUUGAUCCUCUCUCAAAAGUAAAUAAACAUAAAAAAUUUUUUUUAAGUGACUUGGUGUGGCUUUUUUUCAGUUUUUCCUGGGUGGGAUUUGUUCUGUUUUUGUUUUUGUUUUUGUUUUUUAAUUUUUUUUCAACGUUUUUUAUUUAUUUUUGGGACAGAGAGAGACAGAGCAUGAACGGGGGAGGGGCAGAGAGAGAGGGAGACACAGAAUCGGAAACAGGCUCCAGGCUCCGAGCCAUCAGCCCAGAGCCUGACGCGGGGCUCGAACUCACGGACCUCGAGAUCGUGACCUGGCUGAAGUCGGACGCUUAACCGACUGCGCCACCCAGGCGCCCCUGUUCUGUUUUUUUAAAUUAUAAGUUUAUGUCUUUCACCAAACUUGUGAAGCUUUCAGUCAUAAUCUCCUUAAACAUUUUUUCAGUCUCACGGUCUUUCUCCUCUCUUUCUGGGACUUUAAUGAAACAAACAUUAGCUCUGUCGUCCCGUGGGUCCCUGAGGCGGUUCAUUUUUUAAAUCUUCUCUCUUGGUGAGAUGAAUUUCCGUUGCUAUGUCUUCAAAGUUCAUUGACUCUCUUGUCAUCUCAAUUCUGGUAUUCGAUCCCUCCAUGAGGGUCUUUUUCCCUUUCGGUUAUUCUACUUUUCAAUUCCAAAAUUUCCAUUUGCCUCUUUUUUUUUUUUUUUUUUUUAUGUCUUUCCCUUUGCUGAGCCGUUCUAUUUCAAUUUGUGUCAAGACUUUUUGCAGUUUCUGGUUAAAGCAUUUUAAUAACAGCCGCUUGAAAGUCCCUGUCAGAUCAUUCAAACAUCGGUGGUAUCACAUCAUCCGUGUCUGUUGUCUUUACCCACGUGAAUUGAGAUUUUCAUGUUUUUCCAAAACUUAAUCUCAUGGGCUAAUUUCCCUAAGUUUCUUUCUCUCCAUUAUUUUCCAGGUACUUUCCAGUUACCUGAGGUUCCUUUUUCCUCCACCAGAAACUGUCCACUUCUGCAUUUGUGACGCAUUUGGGGCCAAGUGGCACGACUUAGAGGAAAAACUUCUGCUAAUUAUCAGGUUCAGCACGGUUCCAGGAUCCAAGAUCAAUAUACAAAAACCAGCCACAUUUCUUUAUGUUAAGCAAUGAGCAAUCCACCGAUAAAAUUGAGAAAAAAUUCCAUUCACAACAGCAUUGAAAAGAAAGUAACUAGGAGUCAGUUUAACAAACGGAGUGUGAGACUUGAACUCUAUGCAGCAUUUCUUUUUUUUUUUUGUAAUAAUGAUCUAUUUUUGAGAGACAGAGCGACAGGAGAGGAGGGGCAGAGAGAGAGGGGGACACAGAAUCCGAUGCAGGCUCCAGGCUCCGAGCUGUCAGCACAGAGCCCGACGUGGGGCUCGAACUCACGGACCUCGAGAUCAUGACCUGAUCCAAAGUCGGACGGUUGACUGAGCCACUCAAGUGUCUCUCUUUUUUUGUUGCUUAUUUUUGAGAGAGAGAGAGAGAGAGAGAGAGAGAGGGCACAAUUGAGGGAGGGGCAACAAGAGGGAGGGAGACCCAGAAUCCGUGGCAGCCUCCAGGCCCCGAGCUAUCAGCGACCUGACGCAGGGCUCAAACCCACAGACCAUGAGAUCACCACCUGAGCCGAAGUCGGACGGUUAACUGAGCCACCUAGGCGUCUCCACAGCAUUUCUAAGUGAUAUUAAAGAAGAUCUAGGUAAAUACAGAGACACCCACUGUUAAUGGGCUGGAGAGCUCAAUAGUGUUCAAGUGGCAAUAUUCGCCAAAUUGAUUAAUAGAUUGCAGUCCUUCUCAAAAUGAGUGUUUUGGGGUUUGGGGAGCAAAAUUAGCAAUCUGAUCGUAAAACUUGCAUGGACACGCAGAGGACACAGGACAGCCAAACAAUUCUGAAAGGGAACAAAGUUGGAGAAUUUACGCAUUCCAAUUUGAAAACUUACUACACAGUAACAGCAAUAAACACAGCGUCUUCUGACAUAAGGAUUGACAUAUGGAUCAAUGGAACGGCAUUGAGAGUCCAGAAAUAGAUUCAUAGAUUUAUCGUCAAUUGAUUUUUGACAAAAGUGCCACGGCUUUCAAGGGGGGAAAAUGCUCUUUUCAGCAAGUGGCACUAUGACAAUUGGAAAGCCAUGAAAAAACAGAAUUUGGACCCCUACCUUACACUGCACAAAAAUUAACUCGAAAUCAACCAUAAACCCGGGUGUAAGAUCUAAAGCUGUAAGAUUUUUGAAAGGACACAUACGAGAAAACCUUUGUGACCUUGAGACAGGCAGUGUUCUUGGGUGCAACGCCAAGAGCAGGAAUCCACGAAAGAUGAAUCCGAGUUGAUCAAUAGUGCAGAUUCUGUGCUUCGAGUGACGAUAAGAUAACGAAACUGGGAUAAAAUGUUUGCAGGUCAGACGUAAUAAGGGGUUUGUCUUUAGGACACUUGCCGCUCAAAUACAAGACAAACGUACGCUUUAGAUUAUUAGGUGUAUUUUACAACAAUUAAAACCAGAUAUAAAAUUUAAAACAGUAAUCGUAAGACAACCAAGCAAGUAAAAAAAAUAGGCAAAAAAAAAGUUAGCCAUUUCAUCAAGGAAGGAGGAGGAACGCCGGGUAUCUUCUUUGGUGAAACGUCUAAUCCAAUUUGCAAAGAUGCUCGGCACCAGCAGCGACUAGGAAAAUCCAAACUGAAAGCGAACGCGUCACCACCUCGCACACACCAGGGUGGCUGUACCACGAGGAAGGCCCGACGCAAGUGUCGACAAAGAUACGGAAACACCGGAACCCUCCUACGUCGCUGGCGGGAAAGUAAAACGUGCGGCCAGUUUCUUCCAAAGUUGACAUAAACUUCCCACACGACCCAGGAUUCCACUGCCAGGUGUUUACCCAAGAGGAACGACAACGCGUGCACCCAAGAGCUCGUACGUGAAGGUUCACAGCAGCUACGUUCGUAAUAGUCACACUGUGCAAACAACCCAAAUACCCAUCGACUGGUGAACAAACCACGUGUGGUGUAUCCACACCAUGAAGCAUCAUGACGGGAACCAACACGGGCGAACUUUGGGACGACUAUGCUCGGUGAGAGCAGCCGGACAGCAAACACUCCACGUGGCGCAAUUCCGUGUGCGUGGAACGUGUGCAAGAGGCAAGUCUGUGAGGACAGAGAGGGGGUGGCUGUGGAUGGUCCAGGAGACCUUGGAGGUGAGGGCAGCGUUCUAAAGUUGGACUGUGGUGGUGGUUGCACAACUGGGUAAAUUUACUAAAAUCAUUGGACGGUGGGUGGAUCACUGAAACUGUUGAAAGUGGGUGGAUUUUAUGGUAUGUAAAUUACACCUCAAUAAAGCUGUUUUAAAAAUACUUCUCAGGGUUUUGCUUUUUUAGAUUUCCAUUUAAUUCUC